AUGGAACGUGGGGUAGGGCUUCCGAGGGGCGCGGGCCCGGCUCCCCUCCGUGCAGCUCCUCCCCGCGCCAGCCAGCGGUGGGGGUGUUGGGAUAACUGGCGAUGCAGCCCCCAGCCCCCGGCACACACACCGUGGCUGCCGCCGGACUGUCCUCCAGGCCAGCUCCCCCGCCAAGUGUCUCCAGAACAGCCGAGGCCCACCCUGCGUCCUCGGCCCCUCAGCCCGUGCUCCCGGCCCGGACCCCUUGCUCCCUCCAGCCUCAGCAUCCGCACCUGUGUCAGGGCCUGGUCCGUGCGCCCUGUCUGCAGCUCCAGGGAGACGGCCCAGGGGUGGGUCCCCCCCGAGGUGACAAGGGCCAAGGGCAGCAGCCUCCAUGAUUCACUUCCUCCUUGCUGUGUGCUGGGUGAGUCACGCCGACGCCAACCACAGGCGGGAGGCUCCUCACGCGCAGGCCGCGGGCUCUGCUGGAGGCCCGGCAUUCUUCGUAUUCCCUUGGGAUCUGCAUGUGUCUUCUGGUGACUCCCGGAGCCCAUCUGUGUCCCCUCCUUGUGUGUGACUGACUCCACCUGGGACCCCGCCGGCCCCUUGGGGGACGUCUGGUCGCUUGCGCAGCCUGUCGGUCCAGCCCGGGCCGCCACACCCCAGGAGCCGGGCCGCGGGUGGCUCAGUGGGCUGGGCGCCUCCCUGGGCCGGCCGUGGGCCCUGCGUCCCUGGGGGGGCUGGAGGGGCCUCGGGCUCUCGGUCAGGAGGCCUUGCUUCUCCUCCGUCCUCCGCUCCGCCCCCACGCGUGCUUUCCCUCACACAAAGAAAUCCAAAUCUUUAAAAGAAUAACUAAAUAAGAACGUGUCCCAACAGUCCUCCAGCAUGGAGCCUGCGGUGAGUCAUGGAGCCCACCCGUGACUCCUCCAAAGUCCAUCCUCCACUUGCUUCUCCCAGGAGACCCCCCAUGGGAGGAGGACGUGGGCCGAGGAAGGGGUGGCCACGACCUGGAGCUAAGCUCCACAGUGAACUGGGUCUCGUCUCCUCUCAACGAUGGGAGGGACAUUAUCUUCUUUCUUUUUGCGACCUCCUAGGAACC
rnacentral:lncRNA from 1 species